GAUGAAGAACGUAGCGAAAUGUGAUACGUAGUGUGAAUUGCAGAAUUCAGUGAAUCAUCGAAUCUUUGAACGCACAUUGCGCCCCAUGGUAUUCCGUGGGGCAUGCCUGUUCGAGCGUCAUUUACCCCCUCAAGCUCCGCUUGGUGUUGGGCGUCUGUCCCGCUUCGCGCGCGGACUCGCCCCAAAGGUAUUGGCAGCGGUCGUGCCAGCUUCUCGCGCAGCACAUUGCGCUUCUCGAGGCACCGGUGGGCCCGCGUCCAUCAAGCUCACCCCCCCAGUUUGACCUCGGAUCAGGUAGGGAUACCCGCUGAACUUAAGAAUAUCAAUAAGCGGAGGA
rnacentral:misc_RNA from 1 species